CACGGGGGGGAGCAAGCGUUGUUCGGAAUUACUGGGCGUAAAGGGCGUCUAGGCGGAUAGGUAAGUGGGAUGUGAAAUCCCUCGGCUCACCCGAGGACCUGCACCCCAAACUGCCUGUCUUGAGUAUGGGAGAGGAUGAGGGAAUUCCUGGUGUAGCGGUGAAAUGCGUAGAUAUCAGGAGGAACACCGGUGGCGAAGGCGACUCAUCGUGGCCCAACUACUGACGCUGAAGCCGCGAAAAGCUAGGGGGAGCAAACGGGG
rnacentral:rRNA from 1 species